CAGCCGCCGCGGUAAUACGUAUGUCGCAAGCGUUAUCCGGAAUUAUUGGGCAUAAAGGGCAUCUAGGCGGCCCUGUAAGUCUAGGGUGAAAACCUGCGGCUCAACCGCAGGCCUGCCCCGGAAACUACAGGGCUAGAGUAUCGGAGAGGUGGACGGAACUGCACGAGUAGAGGUGAAAUUCGUAGAUAUGUGCAGGAAUGCCGAUGAUGAAGAUAGUUCACUGGACGGUAACUGACGCUGAAGUGCGAAAGCUAGGGGAGCAAACAGGAUUAGAUACCCCCGUAGUCCCUGUCUCUUAUAC
rnacentral:rRNA from 1 species